rnacentral:rRNA from 1 species
UACAGAGGUCUCAAGCGUUGUUCGGAUUCAUUGGGCGUAAAGGGUGCGUAGGCGGCGCGGUAAGUCGGGUGUGAAAUCUCGGAGCUUAACUCCGAAACUGCAUUCGAUACUGCCGUGCUUGAGGACUGGAGAGGAGACUGGAAUUUACGGUGUAGCGGUGAAAUGCGUAGAUAUUCGGAAGAACACCAGUGGCGAAGGCGGCUGACUGGACAUGUAUUGACGCUGAGGUGCGAAAGCGUGGGGAGCAAACAGG